CCUCCUUCCUUCCUUCCUUCCUUCCUUCCUUCCUUCCUUCCUUCCUCUUACCUUCUCUCUCUGUGUGUCUCUCUCUACCUCUGUUUCUGUUUCUGUCUCUGUCUCUCUUAUGGGCACUUGGACACACACACACACUCCCAAUAUAGUCUGUUUCCACAGUAAUGCUAUGUAUUUUAUUUUAUGCUUUUAAAAAUGCUCCCCACACUGCCUGAUAGAUCCAUGACACGAGCUAGGUUAAGAACCCUGCCUGGAAUAAUGGGUUAGGAGAUGGGAGAAGAAACAUUGCAGUUCUCUUCUAGUUGCUACAAUGACUAUGUCAUUAUCCUUUUUUUUAAAUUAUGUAAAUUAAAUAUAACUCAUAUAACUCAAAAAUAUUAAGAGCUAGAAGAUGUCUUACAGAUAAUUUAGUCUAAUUUCACUAUUUUAUAAAUGAAGAAACUGAGACUCAGAAAGAAGUGUUUUGCUGAAAGUCACAAGUAUAAUAGACCAAAGUAGAGACAGAAUUUAAGAUUAUAGGAUGAAAAACUAGAGAGAACCUUAGAGAUGAUAUAGUCAAACAUCUUUAUUUUAUAGAUGAGGAGACUAAGAUAGAGAAGGAAUACAUAAGGGUACAUGGUUGGUAAAUGACUAAGUUAUGAUUUGAACCCAGGUCUUUGACCCCAGAUCCAAUGUUCUUUCCACUAAAGCAACAUUAGUUCAACAUAAGUAAUAGAACAGUUUCUGUACAUUGUUUUAAAUGACUAUUAAUUUAGCACUAUCACAGGAUCUAGACCAAAUUUUGUAGGUCCUACCUUCUCAGUCAGCCUCAAAGUCUGAGUGUAACAAAUAACUUUCUUUUGAAAAAUUUUAUUUAUUUUUAUUCUGAACUUAACAACUACCAGUUUAAAUAAGCAUUUCCAUAUAUGUUGUAGAACAGAAGGAGAAGAUUGCACACGAAACUGUGAAUCUCUAUUAUAGAGAUCUUGCUUUUCUUUUUAAGUACAUGAUUAAUUCAAUAUGUAAUUUUGCAAAGUUGUCCUGCUUUUCUAUGAUUCCUUCCUUCCAUUGUCUUCUCUCUCUUUUUUUUUUGGGGGGGUAGUGGAACCGAGGGUAAGGAGAAUGCCAUUCCUUGCCCCUUUCUAUCAUCCCAACCUUCAUUAAAAAUUAACAUCAAACAUUUGCAAUAAAAUUUCAUAGUCAAGUAAAACAAGUUCCCAUAUUAACCAUGUUCAAAAAUAUACAUUUCAUUCUGCAUCUUAAAUAUUUUACUAAUCUAAUAGGAAAUAUAGCAUGUUUCAAAUAGAAUCAAAGUUGUCCUUUUUACUGAUUAGCAUUCUUGAUUGAGUCUUCCAAAGUUGUUUGUCUUUACAAAGCUGUUGUUGUAUGGGCUGUUUUCCUGAUUCACUUUAUUCUGCAUCAAUUAAUGCAAGAGAUGUUCAUAUACAUUAAGUUUUGAUUUUAUUUCAUUGUACCACUUUUAAGCAUAAUGUAGUUUAUCUUUUUAAAUCAAGUCUAUUUUUGCUAUUACUGUGUGUGAGACCAUGAUUGCUAUCCUUUUUUAGUUCAGCUAAAACCUAAUUAGAUUUUGUUCCAACCUUUUAUUUUAACUCUGCGACUCUUUACAUUUCAAGUAUCUUUCUUAUAAACAUAAUCCUCUUUUGUUAUAUGAGUGAGUUCAUUCCAUUCACAUUCAUGAUCGUGAUGAUUAAUUAUGUAUUUUCUCCCAUUUUAUUUUCUCAUAUUCUUUCCUCUAUUUGCUUCAUCCCUUACAAAGAGAAACAUGGUAAGAAAGAACUGUUCUCAGUGAUAGGGAUCCAAAAUAGUGCAGAUUCUUUCAAAGAUGAAAACGAUGGUAAAAUAAGAGAUGUUAUAAAGAAUGAUCAAAUUGUAAGGGGCAGCUAGAUGGUGCAGUGAAUAGCACACCAGCCCUGAAGUCAAGAGAACCUGAGUUCAAAUGUGAUCUCAGACAUUUAACACUUCCUAGCUGUGUGACCUUGGACAAGUUAUUUAACCCCAAUUGCCUCAGAAAAAAAAAAAAGAAAGAAAGAAAGGAAUAAAGAAAGAAAGAAAGAAAGAAAGAAAGAAAGAAAGAAAGAAAAAAGAAAGAAAGAAAAAGAAAAGGAAAAAAGCAUGAGAGAGUAAAAGAUAGAAAGAAGGAAGAAUGUUUGGGAUAUUUAAGAGAAAAGGGGGAAUCUGCUUUUUAAAAAGAUUUUAUGUCUGUAAUUGUGAUUACAAUGAUAUAGACAAUUCAUGAUAAAUAAAUUUCUUCUAUUAAUAUGGAUUAACAACUCAUCUUCAUUUAGAGUCUGGGACACUAAGAGACAAUGUGAUUUUACCACCAUUAUACAGAUAAUCCUUGUAUUCAGGUCUUCCUGAGACUUAAUCCAUUACACCUCUCUGCCUUUCAAAAAGGAUGGCAGUGAAGGGAAAAUAUAACUCCCAUGUUUUAUUUCUCUCCCGUGCUACUUUCCACUUAAAGCUGCCUCAUGCCUGAAGUGGAAUUCCUGAUGAAUUCAACUAGGCAUUUCACACUGAGACUAAUUUGCAUUCAUCAUAUGGUUUUACAAUUUUGGCAGGUCUGCUGAUAUGACAAUUGGUGGUACCAUUUUGUGGUUUUAAUACAUAUUUAAUGAAAAUAGAACCACAUAAGAUUUAAGUAAAGUGUCUAGCACACAGUGGGUAUUCAAUAAAUAUUUCUUGAUCAAUGGAUUCAUUGAAUGAAUGAAAGUACAAGAAAUAAAACACAGAUGUGCUUCAGAGAGAAACAUUUUUUUUCCCUUUCUUCUCCCCCAGUUCAUCAUUUGGACUUCCUUUAGCAUCAAAUUGAAGUUCAUCAACAUAAGGCUUGAUAAUAUGGACCAAAGGAUGUAGGGCACCAGAACAGCUCCUAUUUCUUGAUGGGUUCUUAUUAAUGAAUUUUUUGAGCAAGAGAAGAUCUAAAUGAGGGAGAGAUGGGGAGGAAGGGAAAACUCUAAAGAGAAGGAUAAUCAAGAAUGAUACUGACUCCUCUGAACAUUCUCUAGUUCUGGAUAUUUCAAUUAGCCAGCUUCAGAAGCAAAGAAGCCUCAGCAAAGAAACUCUUCUUUUGUAUUGUAACUAUUAUUUAUGAGUAAAUUUUGGAUGAUUUCAUAUUGAGGAUUCAGAUAGAAGUGUGUUGUGGAAAGAUUAUUGAGAGUCCCCUGAUCUAGGUUUCUGUUAUUAAUGACCAAUUUUGAGAUACUGGGCAAGGAAUGUGCCAUCUCUGGGGCUUAGUUUCUUUGUCUUUUAAAUAAGGAAGAAAGGAACUGCAUAGUCUCUAAGGCCCUUGCCAUCUUUAAGUUCUAUGGACACAGAAUUAUAGCUUUAGAUCUGGAAGGAUUUCAGAGGCAUCUAGUUCAACCUCAUUCACUUUGCAGAUGAGCAAACUGAGGUCAAGGACAAAUCUUGUCAUUUCCACCUUCAUGAUACCUCUUUUUAACUUUACUUGCGGAGCUACUACCCCAAUUCAUGUUCUCUCAUAUUAUAUCUCUCAUCUCCAUGCCUUUGGACAUGCUUCAUGCUUUCUCUCGUCUUCAUCCCCUGUCUUUGUUGGUCUCCUUCAAGACUCAGCUUAAAUCUCACCUUCUGUAAGAGAAUUUUCCAGUAUCCUCCUCCCAAUUCCCACAAAUCUCCUAGUUACUUUUUCCUUCUGACAUUACCUUACAUUUAUACUGUUUUCUCUCCAAUUAGAAUUUUAGUUCCUCCAUGUCGAGGGCUAUGUUUUUGUCUUUCUUUUCAUCUCCAGUAAAUAGCACAGUGCCUAGCACAUAGCAAGCACUUAAAUUUUCUGUUUACUAACACAGUAGGAGCUUAAUAAAAGUUUGUUCACCGAUUAAUGAAUAAAUACUCUCUUUCGAUUUAUCUUGACCAAUUUUCUCCUUUAUUUGUUCAACAAACUUCCCAGUUUCUAGACUUUUCUCCUUGCUAGGGAGUUAAAAAGCAAACUAGGAGCCGAGUUGUUCAUACUUCAGUCACCGGCUAGUGGCACCUUCCCAGAGGAAUAGUCCUACCCCUUUAUCAUCCUUUUAGCUACAAACAUGGUUAAAAAGAAAACUGGCCCUUUGUUUGUUUUUAGAACUGUUUUUUAAAAUUUAUUUAGAUAUUUAGAACUAUUAGGAAGCUCCAGCUUAUUAUGGAUUUCUGACAUUCUUUCAGGUUAAUGUUGGUCUUAUAUUUAUUCUUUGAUAUAAAUAAUCCCUUUCUCAAGUUACACAUUUGUUUUAAACCUAACCUUUGACACACUUCUGUGUAGCUACACUCAUUUCUUUAGAUGCUUCUCCUUGACUCUCUGACCAUAAUGAGCCACUGAGAGACUCCAGGUAGAGGAUUAUACACAUUUUCUUUGACCUUUUGGAAAUAUGUCUUCUUAAAAUCAAGGUAUACCCUGAAUUAUUCCCAGCUUUCUUAGUGGAAUACUUUAUUUUUUUCAUAACUCGGCUCACAUGCCACCUUCUGUAGGAAGUCUUUCCAAUUCUCUAAGUGCCAAAUCUUCAAUUUUUUUAAAAUUUAAAUUUUAUUUUCAGUUUUAAAUUCUUUUGUUCUCUCUACUUCUCCUGCACACAGGAAAAAGACAAGAAAUAUAAUACCUAUUAUGUUAUGCCACAGUUCUCUUUUAUUGUUCUGACUCAGUUUCCCUAAUUAUGCUGACCCAGUCCUGCCUCGGUUUCCCUAAUUGUUCUGUUCAACCACCCCUCCCUCCUAAUGAUGGUGAUCCCAGAUAAGGAGAAAGAUGUUCUAUCUUAGGCAUCAUCAGAAUGCUAGGUGCCUCUCCCCACUCUGUAAUCCCAAUUAUCAGAUAUCCCCCAUGCUUCCCCUCACUCUGUCAGAACCGGAUUGUCAGAAUCCCAUUCCCGCUCUCAGCACCCGGACUUCUGCCCCUGCCUCACUCUACCCCCUGAAUCUGAGCCACAUGUAUAUAUGUCAUUGAAAACUCACAUUGUUUGCUGGAUUCUUGGAGACUAUAGUCUUGUUCAGCUCUGGCACCAAACCAUGGAUCCAUUUGGUCCCAGUAAAUCUUUCCCUUUUAAAUAAAUCAUUAAAUACUCUCUAAUCUUGAUCUUGCCUCAGUUUCUCUGGCAUUAUAAUUAUAAAUAUGAAGUCAUAUAAAACAUAUCUUUUCACUAGCCAAGUCAUUUUCCAACUUUUUUAGCUUAUAUAUGUCCAAUUAUUUUUUCUUUUUUUAAUUAUUAAAGUUUUUUAUUUUCAAAACAUAUGCAUGGAUACUUUUUCAACAUUGAUCCUUACAUAGCCUUGUGUUCCAAAUUUUCCCCACCUUCCCCCACCCCCUCUCCUAGAUGGCAAGUAAUCCAUUAUAUGUUAUACAUGUUAAAAUAUAUGUUAGCUCUAAUAUAUGUAAACAUAUUUGUACGAUCAUCUUGCUAAUAUGCCCAAUUAUUUAUAGGUUGUCCUCCCACAGGAAUGUGAACAACUUAAGAGUCAGACUGUUGUUGUUUUAUGCUAUUUUAUUUGCCAUUCUUGGUGUCUGCUACCCUGAGAAAGCACAGGACCUGACCCACAGCAAGUUCUUAAAUAAAUGCUUAUUGAUCAACUGAUUCUAAAACAAUAUGGUUAUAUUCUCCCAACAUGGCUAUCACUUCCAUAUCCCUAAUUCAUUCAUCCUAACUGGUCAGAAGUAAUUUGAGUCACAGUUUUUGAACUGCAUCAUUUCCCGAAUAAGAUUCUUUUAGUGUCAGCCUCUCAUUUCACAGAAGAGGCAAGUGAGAUAUGCAAAGAAAUUGUACCUAGCCCACAUUCACAAAGUGCAAAGAAGAGAGCCUAGAUGUUAACAAGGGCGUUAUUUAUUUAUUUUUAAUUCCCAAACAGGGCUCUUUCCUCCUCCUCCUUCUCUUCCUCCUUUCCUUCCUCCUUCUCUUCCUACUUCUUCUCCUUCCCCUCCUCCCCCUCUUUCUCUUUUACCUCCUUCCUCUCCUCCCCCUCCUCCUUCUCCCCUUCAUCCUUCUCUUCCUCUUUUUUCUCUUUUUUCCUCCUCCUCCUCCUUUUUUUUGGUUUUUUUUUUUUUGUUGUUGUUGUUGCUGAGGCAAUUGGAGUCAAGUGACUUGCCCAGGGUCACAGAGGGUUCUUUUCUCUAUGGCAAUCAGCGGGCUUCCACUACCUACUGAAAGAUAAAAUUGUGGGCAAGGAAAAUAUCAGAUGUGCUUUGAACAAAUGAUGCUUCUAGUAGAGUUAGAAAUGUUGGAACUUGCCAUCACUGCUCUAUGCUCCCCUGUGCCUAUUUUGUGAACUAUAUUAUGUAAGAAUCAUCCAUCUGGCCAGGUGGUCUGUAUUUAUACAUCUCUGGCAAUAUUCUUCUGUUUUUUUUCUCCUUUAACCCAAACUCAAACUCUUUUUGCCAUCAGUCAGACUCUCAGAUUUCCAAAUAGUUCUCUGCCAUCUCUCAUUUCAUUAGAUCUGUUUCCAUGGAACAAAGAAUACCCCUCCAGGCACAAAUUCUUUCCUCUCAAGUGUCAAUGGUACCUAAAAAAUCAGAUAUAUCUUACCUACUUGGGAGGUCAUUUCAAUUCUCACCCCUUUAAAUCACAACUUAGAUUUUUGAUCUUUUGCAAGAUAAGAAAAAAUUCACUAAUAGUUUUAAAGGCUCUGCUCUUUGAAUUUUGUUCAAACACUCCACACCAGAAAAAAUCAAUGGCACAAUUAUCAGCUUCUUAGAAGGCUGUUUGUUCAUUUCAGUUGAAUGGAUAUUUCUUUUCCUCUUUGUUUCAAAAGGGAUUUUUCCUUCAGGGUGAAUAGCCAUGGAAGAAAGCAAAGCUACAGAGAUGAAAUCAGAACUGACUAGAACUUGUGGCUCAAAUUUCUUUUCACUGAUUUUUUUUUAUUAUUAAAGCUUUUUGUUUUCAAAACACAUGCAUAGAUAAUUUUCAACAUUCACCCUUGCAAAACUCUGCAUUCUAAUUUUUUUCUUCCUGCCUUCCUUCAUUCCCUCUCCUACAUAGCAAAUAAUUCAACAUAUGUUAAACAUGUGCAAUUCUUCUAUACACAUUUCCACAAUUAUCAUGCUGCACAAUGAAAAAUCAGAUCAAAUAGGAAAAAUGAGAAAGAAAAAAUGCAAGCAAACAACAACAAAAAGAGUGAAAAUGUGGUGUUGUGAUCCACACUCAGUUCCCACAGUCCUCUCUCUGGGUGCAGAUGGCUCUCUUCAUCACAAGAUCAUUGGAACUGGUUGGUUUUCAAAUUUCACUGUUUUAAGAAGGUAGAAGUUUCUCUUUAGGUACACUCAGAUUAUUGGUUCUCUAUGCUCACUGUAUGCUCAUAUGAGGAUUAAGAAACCUCUAGAAAGGCAGGAGACAGGAAUCUUGUGCAAUAUCAAAGAGGGAUCUAAACUCAAGUGAGAGUUCUGUACUAUCUGACCUCCAGAACUUUGAGGUUAGACAAUAAGGGAACAGAAUCUGGACAAAAAAGGAAAUGUAAUCUUUCAAAUUGAAAGUGAAAUUACUCACAAGUCUUCACGGGGUCUUGAGGCCAUGAUCCCUAUAGGGUCACAGGGUACAAGCGAAUUUCAGUGUUUUUUAAGACAAAAUUCAUAACAAGAAAUGAGAGGUUCCAACCUUCUAUUUAAAAUGGGGAUCAAAGGGGGAAAUUCUCCAUCCUUACCAACUGCUUAAUUAACUCACAUGACCAAAUAGUAAGUGCUCUAAAAACAAAGCCCACUUUAGGGACACUUAUUAAUUAUAUUAGAAGAGGCUUUCAGCAAGAUGGGAAUCAUACACAAUGCCGUGGUGACUGAUUUAAUAAGCUGAAGAGAAAGAUAGAAAGCUCAUUUUCUAUUCCCUGCAGAGUCUUUGGGAGAAUCAGAGGCAUUGAGUUUCACUAUUUAGCAGGUGCUCCUAGAAUUACAGAAGGUUCCAGUGAGAAGAGACUUUGGUUCAAUCUCUUUGUUUCCCAGAGGCUGAAAUGGAGGGCCAGAAACAGGAAGUAAAUGAAGAUCAAGAUCAUAUAGUAAGAAAAUAGCUGAAAGUAGCUGAGUUGGGAUUUGAACACAAGGCCUCUCAAUGCAUUGUUGUCAGUGUACUCCACCACAGAUAGCUCAGGAGGUCUAAUGAUGAUUUCAAGGAGUGGAGAAAAAAGAGGAUGACAACCUCUUCAAGGAGAGGUAGGUACUACGUAAUUUUUGAAUUUUUCAUCUCCUCCAGGACCUAUUACAACAAUCUCACAACAAUUCGACAAUUGAGAAUGUAAUUUUUUGGGUAGUUUCUUGAAACAAUAUUAGUUUUUCUUCUUUUUAUUAAAGCUUUUUAUUUUCAAAACAUGUGCAUGCGUAAUUUUUCAACAGUGACCCUUGUAAAACCUGUAUUCCAAAUUUCCACCCCUUUCCCUAGAUGGCAAAUAAUCCAAUAUAUAUUAAACAUGUUAAAAAUAUGUUAAAUACAAUAUAUGUAUACAUAUUUAUAUAAUUAUCUUACUGCACAAGAAAAAUCAGAUCAAAAAGAAAAAAAUGAGAAAGAAAAUAAAAUGCACGCAGUUACAAAAAGAGUGAAAAUGCUGUGUUGUGAUCCACACUCUGUUCCUACAGUUCAUUCUCUGGGUGCAUAUGGCUCUCCUCAUCACAAGAUCAUUGGAAAUGGCCUCAACCAUCUCACUACUGAAAAAAGCCAUGUUCAUCAGAAUUGAUCAUUGUAUAAUCUUGUUGUCGUGUACAAUGAUCUCCCGGUUCUGCUCGUUUCACUUAGCAUCAGUUCAUGUAAAUCCCUCCAGAUCUCUCUGAAAUCAUCCUGCUGGUUAUUUCUCAUAGAAACAAUAAUAGAGAAUCUAUAAUUUAAGCAAUGUGUAUUUUCUGUAUUAAUGAAGGCAACAAUCUCUCCACAUCUUAACAAAUGAUCUUCAAGAGGUACUUUUAGCUAAAAUCUAUUUUACCCUUGGGGCCAGGUGAUAAUCCUCUUUAAAUUUAGCUAGGCUGAACCUCAAACAACAACCACACAAUCUAUUACCAGACAGACCCAAAGUUUUUCCAGCUGGAUGAGACCCCCCACAGUUUAGACUCCACUAGCUUUGCAUUUGAGAAGCCACAGUCAUGUUCAUGGCACAAUGGGGCAUCAGAAGAAGACAGGGAAGGGGAAAGACUAUGUACACAGUAAGUGUUUAACAAGCAUGCAUUUUAAAUAAUUGAAGUGUUUCAGCAAUAACAUUUUAUGAUGAUCAAUUCUGAUAGACAUGUCUCUUUUCAACAAGAGGUGAUUCCAACCAGUUCCAAUGAUCUUGUGACGAAGAGAGCCAUUUGAAUCCAGAGACAGAAUUGUGGGAACUGAAUGUGGAUCAUCACAAAGAAUUUUCAAUUUUUGGUAAUGUUGCUAUUUGCUUACAUUUUAUUUGCUUUCUCUUUUUUUCCUUUUUGAUCUUAUUUUUUCUUGUGCAGAAUGAUAAUUGUGGAAAUAUAUAUAGAAAAAUCGCACAUGUUUUAAACAUAUAUUGGAUUACUUGUCAUCUAGGGGAGAGAGUAUGGGGAAGGAAAGGAGGAAAAAAUGGAAUAUAUCCUUUUGAAAGGCUGAAGGUUGAAAAUUAUCUAUUUUAUUGAAAAUAAACAGCUUUAUAAAAAAUAAGUGAAGUAUCUGUAGAAACAUGUCUGAAAGCAUUUUGCCAGUCCCUACUUUCAAGAGAUAGCAAGAUGGCACAAUGUAAUGAAUGCCCUGUGUGAAGUCAAGGAGGUCCAAGUUCAAAUCCAGACACGGACAUUGAUUAAUUGUGUGACUGUGGGCAAGUCAUUUAACCCUAUUUGCCUCAGUUUUCUUAUCCAUAAAAUGAGCUGGAGAAGGAUAUGUCAUACCAUUCCAGAAUUUUUGCCAAACUCCAAAUGGGAUCUUGGAAGAGUUGGACAUGACUGAAAUGAUUGAACGACUUUCAAGAAAGCUUUCCUUGAAUUCUAUAUGAUUUCUUUCUUUUUUAUAUACUUUUAUCAGUGUUCUUUUCUUAGAAUUUUCAAAACAAAAGCAAUCUAUAAUAUCCAGAUUAUCAGCUUAUCCUGUCCUUUAUUUUAUUAAUUUCCCCUUUGGUCUCCUUAAAUAAGGAAGCAUUGGAAAGAAAAGAUUUUGAGACUGAAGUAUAUGUAAUCCUGGGACGGAGUUAACAACAAACACUUAUUAGGUCCCUAUUGUAUGCUAGGAUCUGUUCUAAACAUUGAAAAUAUAAAAAAAAUCAAAAGAUAAAAAACUCACAGUCCAACAGGGAAGAUGAUGCAUAAACAACUAAAUACAAGCAAAAUAUGUACCGGCUAAACUCAAGAUAAUUAACAAAGAAGAGGCCUAGCAUUGAGUGGGAUCAGGAAAGACUUCUCAGAGGACAUAGGACUUUAUCUGGGACGUGAAGAAAGCCAGAAGGCAGAAGUGAGGAGGUUACAAACAUGGGGGACAGCCAGUGAAAAUGUACAGAAUCUGGAGAUGGAGUGUCUUGAAUGAGGAACAGCAAAGAGUCCAACGUCACUGUAUUUGAUGCUAGAGGUGAAUCAGAGACUGAUACAGUCAGAUUUAGGAAUAUUAACUUGUUUGUUGAGUGAAAGAUGGACUGGAGUGGGGAGACACUUCAGGCAGGGAGACCAACAAGCAGGUUAUUGCAACAAUUCAAGCCUGAGGUAAUAAAGAUGGUGGUGGUAUUGGAAGGAAGAGGACAUUAUACCAGAGACAUCAAGGAGGUAAAGUCAAGGACAAGUCUUGAAUAUCAAGCCUGGGUGACUGGGAGAACAGUGGUUCUUUCUACAAUAAUUGGGAUAUAUGAAAGCAGGGAAAAUUUGAGGAGAAAGAAAAUGAAUUCAGAAAGAAAAUGAUACUUUAUUGAAUUUAAGAUAGCUACAGAACAUCCUGGACAGUUAACUGAUAUGAUAGAGAAAGUAUAAGACUGAAGUCAGGAAAAUCUGAGGUCAAAUUCAGCCUCAGACACUUUUGUAGCUAUGUAACCCUGGGCAAGUCACUUAUCCCUGUUUGCCUCUGUUUCCCCAUCUGUAAAUGAGCUGGAGAAGGAAAUGGCAAAGCACUUCAGUAUCUUUACCCAAAAAAUUCCAAAUAGGGUCAUAAAGUGUUGGACUGAAAAACAACAGAGGGAAUCCAAUUUGAGAUAUUAAAUAGGCAAUUGGAGAUGUGCGUCUGGCAGUUAGAAUUGAAUAAUCAGAUUUGAGAACCAUCAGCUUAGAGAUGAUCAUUGAAAUCAUAGGAGCUAAUGAAUGUUAAAGAUUGUUUUUGCAUGUAAUCAGAAGGAAAUAAAAUAUUAAAUCAUAAAAAAUAAUAGGCGCUAACAGUGAAAUACUAAAGUGGGAGAGGAGAGAAAGCUUCUAUCACUCAUGAAUUACGGACAGAAAAUCUCCUAACACUCCAUUGGUUGUCAUGGCUAUCCCAUUUGUAUGCCCCACCAUCUUGGGAAACAGCUCCCAUGCCUACAAGGCAUGGCUUCUUCAUCUUAGCCCUUAGAAUCUCUAGUUUCCUUCAAAUUUCCACCUAAGGGUGUUUCCUACUUGCUCCAGAUGCUAGUGUCUCCCCUUAAGUUACUUUGUAUAAUAUAUUUUGGACACAUUUAUUUUGCAAAUCUUUAUCUGUAUACAUGUUAUACAUAUUGUGUCUCUCUCUAAAAAAGCAAGUUUCCUAAAGGCAGGGCUUGUUUCAUUUCUAUCUUUGUACCUUCCUUGCCCGGCAUGCAGUAGAUAUGCUUAUUGACUGAUCGAUAAUGGUACAAUUAAUCCUCUGAAAGAACUGGAAGCAGUCUAGGCUUGGUCCAACAUUCUCAUAGUAGCAAGGAAAGAAUGUCAAAUUUGGAGUCAAAACACCCUGGCUCCCACACUUACUAUUUGGGUGUGACCCUGGACCAACCACUUCUCAGAUCCUCAGUUUCCUCAUCUAUAAAAUGGAUAUACUGACACACCACCAACUUCAUUUAAAGAGAAAUGCUUUGCAAAUCAUCAAAUCCUAGCUGGGAUGUGAACUCUUUUCAUUCAAUGCCAACCUACUCCUUCUGGGGGAGAGUUUAGGGCCACCUGCUUGUAGGAUUCAACUCGCUCUCAGUUACUGCCUUUGUUGGAAAGGCUUGUCUCUGAGCCCACUAAUGAACACAUUGGUUUACUUCGCCAGGACCUUUCACCGCCACUGGCAUAGAUCUAAUUCUGAAGUGAGAGCCUGUGUUUCUGCCUCACAUUCCUGAGGAGCCCACUUCAUUCUGGGUUUUUGCAUUUCCAGUGACAAGGAUGGAGUAGGUUUGUCGGAGUUAGUCUUUCAUUAAGAUUGCUUCAUUUUGAAAUGUGUUUGAAUGAAGCUACCUUUUAUCCCCAGAUUUUUGGCAGGGAAAGCCAGUGUCUUUGGGCAAAGGGAUAAGGGGCUAAGAAAACAGGAGAACAAGACUGACUGGGACACAGGCCCAGAGGGGAAGUGCUCACUCUCCUGGGGGUGGGAGGUUAAAUCUGCUCCCAUAAAACUGUUGAGUGCUAUGAACCACACUGGAACCCACCUCUCAUAUUCUCUAACUUUCUAUAGGAGAGCACAACUCAGAUAAACCAUAAUUAUCCAAAACAAAAUAAAAUAGCGAAACUAGAGACUAGAUUUUUUUAUUUUUACAAUAUCUCUUGUUUUUCAACUUCCCCAUCAUUGUUUCUAAUAGAAUAAGAAGGGUAGCAAAAGCGGGAAAGUUUAGGGAGUGUUGGGUGGAAGGUUUACACUUGGGUUCACAAGGUUCAGGUUGAAGGCGGCAAUGACUAGACUCAUUUCUGGGGAAAUAUUUAGGAAGAUUUUUGUGCAGAUGUGUUGUUUUAGUGGACUGUGUACUCAAUACAAAUCAACAGUGUGAUAUGGUUUUCAACAAAGCCCAUGAAAACUUAGGGUGUAUCAAGAGAAGUAAGGAAAAGGUCUGGAGCGUUGUUGUCCAUUCUAGGAGUCACCUUUUAGGAACAACACUGACAUAUUGGAGUCCAUUUAAACUAAAGGCAAUCAGGAUAAGGGGACUGAAGAGUAUGCCAUAUGAAAACUAGGAAAGGGACUAAGGAGGUUUAGCCCAAAGAAUAGAAGAUCUGAGUUCAAAUCCAGUCUCAGACACUAACUACAGAUGUGACUACACAUCAUUUAUCUCUGCACGAUUUUUUCAACUGCAAAAAGGAAAUCAUAACAGCUCCUACCUAGUAGAACUAGUAAAAUCCUGUCUUUGGAGUCAGAAGAUCUGAAAUCAAAUUUAACCUCAAACAUUAACUAGCUGUGUGACUGCUCAUCAUUUAAUUUAUCUCUACUUCAGUUUCUUCAACUGUAAAAAGGAAACCAUAACAACUCCUAUCUCAGAGGAUUGUUAGAAGGAUCAAAUUACAUUAUUUUAAUUAUUAUCAAAUUAGAUAAUAUUGGUAAAAUGCUUGGCAAAGUACUAGUAUAUAGUAGGCACUUAAUAAAUGUGUGUUUUUUUUUUUUUUUUGCUAAGACUCAGCAGUACGAAACUAGAAACAAGGGUGGCUAUUAUAAAAAGACAGAAUUCAGCUUGUUAAGUUUCUAAUAAUUAGAUUAAAUGUACAGAUGUGGGAAACUGUGGGGUGUUUAGGCUCACAGUGAUUGCAGCAUAGAAUGUAUGUGCCACAGAGAGUAGUAAGAGAUAAGACUAGGAAGAUUAGAUGUCAAAAGAAGUAUGAAUUUUACUUAGAAGCCAAUAGGGAGUGAUAAAGAGGUUCUUGCAGACAUGAAUAAAAGGCAAAUUCCAGGAGAAGGGAGUUAUUUGAGUAGGAACUUGGGUACAGAAGAGAGCAGCUUCUUGGGGGUGAAGGGCUGAAGAGAAUCAGCCAAGUAUCUCAGUUUGGACCAAGGGUAAAUACAGAAUGGGACCAGGAAGAAACUGUGAAGCAAGUAGGAAUUAGGUAAUUAGGCUUAAAGACUCCAAGAUUCAGGGACCUCUUAAGAUAAUACAAUUGGCUUCUUCACAGGAAGUACAAGAUAGAAGACAAAGCAUGGAGCUGCUUGCAAAAUGAAUUUUUAGUGAGAAAAAGAUUAUUUCCCAACUAAAAAAAGCAGAAUCUGUUUGGGACAGAUGGUGACAUGUUGCUGGACUACUCUUAUUCAGUUAUUUGAAGUAAAAGUACUGGUUGGAAAGAAUAGGUCAAUAGUCAAGUUUACUUUGGAACUGUAUCUGCAAGAAGUGGGUGACAUGGAUUUGUUGGAUGUGUCAUGUCCCGAGCCCUGCCUUUUCUGAACAUCCUUUUAGAUGGAUAUUUCACAUUUUUCUUCAUUAGGUAAUGACAUCAUAGCAAACUGAGCUUUCUUUCUGGCACAUGAAUUCCUUCUGGGAAAAAUGAAAUCUUUGGAUUUGGGAAAGCACUCCACCCAAUUCUUCUUCAUGUUUAUUUAGUCUAUAGCCUGCAUUUACUUAUUGGCAACAAAAUACAAACUUCUGGAGGGCAGGCACUGAUGUCAUGCCCAUGGCACCCAGUAGGGGUUUAUUGAUUGGUAAAAACUGAUUUUCUUUGUUUAGGGUCAGUGAGCUUUUGAGCCCUGAGUUUGGAAUGAGAUGAUUUAAGCCAGAAUCCAAGCUCUCUUACCAUUUUUGUGUAUCUUUUGGCAAUUCACUUAACCUCUCUUGGGUUCAGUUUUCCUCAUCUCUAACAAGAGUGGGUUGGCCUAGAUGACAUCUCAAGUCCCUGUAGGCUCUAGGCUCUAAAUCUAAAUUCUUAAUAGCCCAUGAAUUUAACCUUUCUAGGUUCUCUCCUCUAAAAAAUGGAAGAGUUGGCCAGCUGGCUGAUUUCUGAUGUCUUCCAGUUCUCAGAGCUUAGGAUUUCAUUUCAAAUUUCAAAAUUUCACUUCAAAAAACUUUGUAGUUUCAUUGCUUAACUUAUUGUCCCUGGGUAACUUGAUAUGUUUCAAAAGUCUUUUGGCCCCAGCCUGGAGGGUAGAUCUUGGCUGAAAAGCAGAUUUUUCUUCCUACUUUUGUCAACUUAAGCUUUAAAAAGUAGCUCAUUUGCCAACAACAUAGAGGUAACAUGGUACAAAGAGUAAAAGGCUAGAGUUCAAUCAGGAAACUUGGAUUAGACAGUUCCAAUACUUAUUAGCUGUGUGACCAUUAGCAAGCCAUUUAAAUUCUCUAUGCCUUGGUUUUCUCAUCUAUACUAUGGGGAUAACAUAGAUGCUAGUUACAGGGUGGCUAAUGCAAAAAGUGCUUUGUAAUUGUAUAGAGCAGUAUCAGCAUGAAUUAUUAUUACAAUUUAAAAAUAAACUUCUCCUCUGAAGAGGAGAGUCAGACCAGGCAAAAAGUCAAAUUGGAAAAACCUGUUCUGGGGCCCUCAGCUUUAGUUAUGCUGACAUCUAUUUCCAGAAAAACCCCAAUCCCUAAAAAAAAAAGUUCAGGACAGACUCCUGUAUUUCUUCUUGGGCUCAUAUAUGUGGAGGCACAGUGGGCAUGUAGUGGAUAGAUAGAUGUGCAUGGUGAUUUGGGGCAAGUCCUGGUGUUCUGCCUGAUCCUUAUUUCUUUACACCCAGGAGGCCUUGAGGGAGGCUUGCUUGGGAAGAUAUUACUGGGGGAGAGGUAGAAGGGAUCCAAGGGAAAUAUGGGAAGGUGAAAUGAGGUAGUUUUCUCCCAUUGUCUAUUCCUUCUGAUUGUCAAGUUUAGGUACCCCUCUGGCCCUGGUUCUGCACCUUGUGCCUGAGAUUUGUUAGGACUAGGGGAAGGAAGCAGAUAGGCACCUGGUAUGGAGUGGGGGGCUUCAGCAUUUCCUCUUUCCUGUUGAAGCAAUGUCAGGGGGAUAUCACACCAUCAAGGCAUUCUUCCUUUGCUGAUUUGGCAGAGAAGAAGAGGGGGGAGGGAAAGGUUUGUGGCGAAAUAAUUAUCUGCUUCAAAGAGCAAAAUGAAUGAGAAGAUUCAUAGGUUAGAAACCGAUUUUAGUCCCAGCUCUGCCACAAAAUGCAUGAUCUUAUGCAAUUUCCUUUGACUCUCUUAAGGUCUCAAUUUCUUUCUCUGUAAAGUGAAGGAUUUGGGGCUGGAAUUUUUUUUUAAAAGGAUAACUUUUUCAAUAUAAUAGAUUUCCUUUGUAAUUUUAUAUAUUUUAUUUUUUGCAUUUAAAAACAGCUAGAGCAGCAUUAAGCUAUAAACUUAAUCACAUUGCCAAAGGAAGCUAUGACACAAUAAGAUUUAAGAAUUAAUUCCAAAUCCUGGUUUCAUGACUUAAAAGGGAAGAGGAGAAGAGGAAAAGAAAAGACAAGUCAAAGACAAAGAAAUGAACCCUAAUUAUUUAAAUGGUAGCCAAAAAGGGUGGGGAACUUGCUUUGCUGUCACAACAUAUCAUUUCCUUUCACAGAUUCCUAAUGUUAUCCAAAAGAAAUGUUCUCUGUUUUGGAGAAGUGAACUUCCUUGCUGGUUUUUGUUUUGGUUUUUGUUUUUGUUUGGGUUUUUUUUUUUUUGCAAACAACUUCCUGAUAUCACAAGGUCAGGGCACUACCCAAACCCUAAUCAGCUUCUUUGAAAUAUCUCUUUUCUUGGUCCAGAAGGUAAUUGAUUUGAAGAGUUGAGUCAGAUGAAUCACUUUACUGUUUGCUACAUGUGUGGCUUUGGACAGGCACUUCUGGCUGAGCUUUGGUUUCUUUCUUGGUGGAGUGAAGUGAUUGCAUUGGAUGGUCUCACAUCUAAAUCUCCAAUCCCAAGUUUUACUUUUCUAGACUAGCCUUAGAUGAUUCCAAUCAUUCCAGAAGAGCUGACCAUCGUCAAUUUUUUCAUCACUUGGAGAAGACUGUCUGGGAGAGUUAGGAGGUUUGGGGUCCAACUCCAGCUUCGAUAUUUACUAGUUAGGUGAUCUUGGGCAAAGCUUUGGAGUCAGAGGACCCGGAUUCAAGUCUAGCUCUUCCCCUUAUUUGACCUUUUAUAAAUCUCUUCAUUUCUCUGGGCCUCAGUUUCCUCAGCAGUAAAAGGAGGGAAUUGGACUAGAUGUUCUCUUCGGUCUCUUCUAAUUCCAUAUCUAUGAUUCUAUGACUAUUCUGAAUUUAUUUGCAAAAUAGGAACAAUGAUGCAUUACUUGCCAGCUAUUACAGUACUUUGUAAAUUUUAAUUCCUAUACAAUGUGAGUUAUUGUGAGUUAUUAUUCUAGGAAGUUAAUAAUGUACUAUUUGCUAACCUAGUACUUUGUAAACUUAAAUUCUUAUAUAGUAUGAGUUAUCAUGAUAGGCAUUUGGUAAAUGCUUAUUAAUUGAUAGAUUAUAUAUAUUUAUCAUUUUUAAAAAAUCUCUUACUAUUACCUCCCUGUCUCAUUCCAAUCUCCAUUCUAAACCUUCUCUUUUCUUUUUAAACCCCAACUUCUCCCCCAAACCUGAUAUUCAGAGUAGAUGAGCUCUUUCUGUUUUACAUAAACUAAGACCAUCUGACCAGAGACUUCAAUUCCUCUCUUCCUUACUCUGGGUCUUCAGCAUCUGUCCCUUUCCUCCUCUCUCUGAAGAAGUUAAUUUCUUUCCUACUGUACAAAGCAAAUCCCUUCAUCUGAGUUCUUGAAAUACUUCCCUUUCCUCUCCUCUUGGACCUUGCUCCCUCAGUCAUUCCUUCUCUUUCUUGUAUCUCUAAGCCUGAUCCCUAUUGGCCUUUCCUCUUUAUCUGUAAAAAUGUUCAAAUAUCCUCCUCUUUAAAAAGAAAUCCAGUGUCAUCCAUUAAUCCUGCUCACCUCCUUAAGCUCUCAUCCUGCCUCUCUUCUUCCUUUUCCUUUUCUAACAUUUUGUUUACCUCCUUAACUUCUUUCUUAUUUAUUUUAUGGUUCAAUUUAUCCAAGUCUGAGAGAGUAAAGUUGAGAUCCCCCACUAGUAUGGUUUUGCUGUCUAUUUCUUUUGCAUCUCUCUUAACUUGGAAUUUCUGUGCUAUACCACUUGGUGCAUAUAUGUUUAGUAUCUAUGGUAUCCUUUAGUAAGAUAUAGUUUCCUUCCUUAUCUCUUUUAAUUAGCUUUAUCUUUGUUUUUACUUGAUCUGAGAUCAGUAUUGCUAUUCCUGCUUUUUUUUCCCCUUCACCUAAAGCAUAAUAAUAUUCUUCUCCAGCCCUUUACCUUCACUCUGUAUGUAUCACUGUGUUUCAAAUGUGUUUCUUGUAAACAAUAUAUUGUAGGAUUCUGGUUUUUAAUCUAGUCUGCCAUCUGCUUCCAUUUUAUGGGUGAGUUCAUCCCAUUCACAUUCACAGUUAAAAUAACUAAUUCUAUAUUUCCUGUCAUCUUAUUUACCUUAUAUUAUGCUUUUCUCUUUCCUAUUCCCCUUCCUUCCUCCCCACUAUUUUGCUUUUGAUGACCACCUCCCUCAAACAGUCCUCCCCCUUUAAAGUCCCCCCCCCUUUUUAUACCUUUCCCCUAAUUCUUCUGUUUUCCCUUCUAUUAGUCUUUCCCUUUCUUUUUUCCUUUUCCCUCCUAUUUCCCUAUAAGGUGAGACAAGUUUCUUUGUGAUACCAAAUAUAUCUGAUAUUCUCUCUUAAAGCCAAAUCUGAUGAGAAUAAAAUUCACACAAUGCUCAUUCCUGUCCCUUCUUUUCCUCAAUUAUAAUAGGUUUUCUUUGCCUCUUUCUGAGAUGUAAUUUCCCUUAUUUUACCUCCUUUUUCCUCUUCUUCCAGUAUGAUCCCCUUUCCAUCUCUUUUCAUAUUAUUUAUAUUUCCAUCUUUUUCAUAUUAUCAUAAAAAAUCAAAUUAUAUUCGCAUUCUCUAAGUAUACCCAUAACAGAAAUAUAAUUCUCAAGAGUUCUUUCCUUUUUACCUUUUUAUGCUUCUCUUGAGUUUUGUGUUUAGAGACCAAAUUUUUUGUUCAGUUCUGGUCUUUUCAUUAGAAAUAGGUGAAAUUCCCCUAUAUCAUUGAAUGUCCAUCUUCUUCCCUGAAAGAUAAUGCUCAUUUUAGUAGAUAGCUUAUUCUUGGCUGUAAUCCCAGUUCCUUUGCCUUUCAGAAUAUCAGGUUCCAGGCCCUUUGAUCCUUUGAGAUGGAAGCUGCUAGGUCCUGGGUUAUCCUAAUUGUGGCUCCUCAGUAUUUAAAUUGUUUCUUUCUGGUUGCUUACAAUAUCUUUUCCUUGGUAAGAUAGUUUUGAAAUUCAGCCUUGAUAUUCCUUGGGGAUUUAAUUUUGGGGUCUCCUUCAGAAGAUGAUCAGUGGAUUCUUUCAAUGGCUAUUUACCUUCUGAUUCUAAAAUAUCAGGCAGUUUUUUUUUUUUUUUUAUGAUUUCCUGUAAUGUUAGGUUCUUUUUUUUUCUUCAUGGCUUCCAGGAAGCCCAAUAAUCCUUAGAUUGUUUCUCCUAGAUCUAUUUUCCAGGUCAGUUUUCUUCUAUUUUUUCAUUAUUUUUGUUUUCAUUUGACUGAUUCUUUAAGUCUUAUUGAGUCAUUCACUUCCAUUUAUUCAAUUCUAAUUUUUAUGCAUUAUUUUCUUCAAUUACCUUUUUUAGCUCCCUUUGCAAUCGGCCAAUUAAAUUUUUUUAUUCAUUGCAUUCUUUUUCCAUUUUUUCCAUUCCUUCUUGCAAUGAUCUCAUUUCAUUUCCCCAUUUUUUUUCCUAACUCUCUUUUAAGAUCCUUUAUGAAAUCUUCCAAGAAAGCCUUGUGAAAUGGGGAUCACCUCAUGUCUCUCAUUGGGGCUUCUUCUGAAGUUGCUUUGCCUUUAGGAACCUCAGGAUUUGAGCUCUGUCCUCUCUCUCCAUAAAAACUGCCUAUGGUGAGAGUUCUUUUGGGUUUUUUAUUCAUUUUUUUCUUUUUUUUUAUUUCAUAGCUUUUUAUUUAUAAGUUAUAUGUAUGGGUAAUUUUACAACAUCGACAAUUGCCAAACCUUUUGUUCCAAUUUUUCUCCUUCUUCCCCCCACUGCCUCCCUUAGAUGUCAGGACGACUAGUAGAUAUUAAAUAUCUUAAAGUAUAAAUUAGAUACACAAUAAAUAUACAUGACCAAACCAUUAUUUUGCUGUACAAAAAGAAUCGGACUCUGAAAUAUUGUACAAUUAGUCUGUGAAGGAAAUCCAAAAUGCAGGCAGAUAAAAAUAUAGGGAUUGGGAAUUCAAUGUAAUGGUUCUUAGACAUCUCCCAGAGUUCUUUUGCUGGGCGUAGCUGGUUCAGUUUAUUACUGCUCCAUUGGAACUGAUUUGGUUCAUCUCAUUGCUGAAGAUGGCCAGGUUCAUCAGAAUUGAUCAUCAUAUAGUAUUGUUGUUGAAGUAUAUCAUGAUCUCCUGGCGCUGCUCGUUUCACUCAGCAUCAAUUCGUGUAAGUCUCUCCAGGCCUUUCUAAAAUCAUCCUGUUGGUCAUUUCUUACCGAACAAUAAUCUUCCAUAAUAUUCAUAUACCACAAUUUAUUCAGCCAUUCUCCAAUUGAUGGGCAUCUACUCAGUUUCCAGUUUCUGGCCACUACAAAGAGGGCAGCCACAAACAUUCUUGCACAUACAGGUCCCUUUCCCUUCUUUAUGAUCUCUUUGGGAUAUAAGCCCAGUAGUAACACUGCUGGAUCAAAGGAUAUGCACAGUUUGAUAACUUUUUGAGCAUAGUUCCAAAUUGCUCUCCAGAAUGGUUGGAUGUAUUCACAAUUCCAUCAACAAUAUAUUAAUGUCCCUGUUUUCCCACAUCCCCUCCAACAUUCUGUAUUAUCUUUCCCUGUCAUUCUAGCCAGUCUGACAGGUGUGUAGUGGUAUCUCAGAGUUGUCUUAAUUUGUAUUUCUCUGAUUAAUAAUGACUUGGAGCAUCUUUUCAUAUGGCUAGAAAUAGUUUCAAUUCCUUCGUCUGAGAAUUGUCUGUUCAUAUCCUUUGACCAUUUAUCAAUUGGAGAAUGGCUUGAUUUCUUAUAGAGUCAAUUCUCUAUAUAUUUUGGAAAUGAGUCCUUUAUCAGAACCUUUGACUGUAAAAAUAUUUUCCCAGUUUAUUGUUUCCCUUCUAAUUUUGUCUGAAUUAGUUUUGUUUGUACAAAAUUUUUUCAGUUUGAUAUAAUCAAAAUUUUCUAUUUUGUGAUCAGUAAUAUCUCUAGUUCUUCUUUGGUCAUAAUUUAUUCAUUUUUUUUUCUUGAGAUCUGUUCAAUGCAAAGGAGUGACAAUGGUCUUAAUUUGCCCUGGGGGAGUUCUGCUGAUUGCUUUCCAGUGCUGGGCAACCAUAGCUAGGUCCUGCUUUGUUCUGGGGCUCAGUGGUUUACAAUUUGUCUUUUACAAAAGACAAAUCUUCCAAACCACCUGCUUGCAACCAGGACAGAGUGGCCUAAGAGGCUCACAGAUGAUUCCCAGGUGUGUAGAAGCUACAACACUCUUACUCUUCACUCUAGCUUCUUGCCCUGGUCUUCCUAUACUGUAGUCUAGGUUCAGCAGACUGUCCCCCUGCUCAAUUGAAACAGACCUGUUCUGAAGUUUUUCCAAAGUAUCUUCUUCUAGAAAUGUUAUACUCCAAAUAUUUGUGGAUUCUUUGACUUCAAAACUAGUUCAGAGGCUUACUCUGUUGUUGGUUUGAGAACAGGUCAGAGGAGGUUACAGAGUCAUGUCUUCUCUCCACCAUCUUGGCUCCACCCCUCUUUUUCCUUUUCCUAUUAGUCCUGAGUCACUUUUUUUUACUUCCUCGCCUUGACAACCACAUCUAUAUCUGAAUUGUCUUUGUAAAAUAUUAUUAAAGAAUUACUAAUGAUGAUUUUGAAGACUUGUCAAAUAGGAAGUGCUGAGAGCUUUUCUUUUUUUAAUUAGCAAAGUACUUUAGAAAGAGCAAGCCAAUAUCUCAUAUUGUAAUUGUCUGACUUUUGAUGUUCCACUGGUGAUACCUUAUAUGAUUUGCCUUCUGUUGCAUUCAUUCUAAGAAAAUGGCUCCUCUGAAGAUCACCUGUGACUUGCUAAUAGAAGCUGAAUUCCCUUUUCCCAUUUUCUUUCCUUGACCUUGACCUUGUAGACUCAUAUAUCUUUGUUAUCUUCUAUUUCUUUACUUUUCAUGGAACCAACUCCUGGUUCUCCCCAUACUUCUUGGACCACUCCUCUUUGAUCUCCUUUGUUAGCCCUUCUUUGUCCUUCUCCUUCCUUAGCUCCCAUCUUUCCCUUUUCUCUGCACCAUCUUCCUUAAUGAACUUAAUUUUUUUCCCAAGUCUUUAAUGAUCACAUUUAGGCAAAUCGGUGUCUCCCAUCCUACUCCCUCCAUCAAGCUCCACACAAACAACUGCCUACCAGAUAUUUUCCCCUGAUUGUUUCGCUAGCACCUUGAGCCAGUUCAUUUAAAAAUAAAUUUCUCCUUAUUUUGAGAGUCGAUGUAGUAUAAGACAAAGAAUACUGGAUUUGGAACCAGAGGACUGUAUUAUCUGUGUGGUUUUAGGAAAGUCACUUAAUCUCAUCUGUGGUUGAAUUAGAUGACUUCUAAAUUCCCUUUUAUAUCUAGAUCUAUGAUCUAAAGAUCUGUCAAUCCUGUGACCAAAGUGGAAAUGGGUUGUCUAGUCUAGAGAGGAAAAUAAAGUAUCAGAAGACUGGGAAGACAGGAAGAAUCCAAAUUAUGAAAAGCUUUAAUUUCCAGAAGGGAAAGAUAGGUGGUAACAUAGUGCACAGAGCAUAGGAUCUUGAAUCAAGAAGACUCCUUUUUCUGAGUUCAAAUCCAGCCUUAGACACUUACUAGCAUGUGACCCUGGGCAAGUCACUUAACCUUGUAUAUGUAAAAUGAGCUGAAGAAGGACAUGGCAAAGCAUUUAGUAUCUUUGCCAAGAAAACCCUAAAUGGGGUCACAAAAAGUUAGACACUAUUGAAACUUCUGGAAAAUGGCAAAAUGUCAGGGGACUUUAUAUUUAAUUUAAUAAAUUUAUUUCUAUAACCUAAUAAAAAGCCACUGGCAUUUAUUUAAUAAAAGGCUGAUAUAGUCAGAUCUACACUUUUAUUUUAAUUUUUAGGAAAGCAAUCAGAAUGGUAUAAGGCCUAAAGAACAUGCCAUAUGAAGCUUAGCUGAAGGAAUGUUUAAUCUAGAGAAGAGAAGGUUUAGAAAUGUAAGUGCCCAAAGUAGAAAAAAUGGGUAGAAGUUGCAAAGAAAAGUUUUAAGUUUGAUGUAAGAAGAAAAUUUCUAACAAUAUUCCUAAUAAAAUUUCUACCCAAAAUGGAAUGGUGGCCCCCAAGAAAUGUUGAGUUCUAGCACUUUGAAGAUCUUCAAGAAAAGACUGGAUAACCACAUGUUGCGAAUAUUAUAUAAUUUUUGUUCAGGGAUGGGUGGUAUUCAAUAGUCUCUGAAGUCCUUUUGAACAAUCAAUCAACAAACAUUUAUUAAGUGCUUGCUAUGUUCCAAGGACUGUAGCAACUCCUGAGGAUACAAAGAAAAGAUGCCCUGCCUUAAAGGAGCUUACAUUCUGUGACUCUGUUCUGGAUGUUAUUGAGUGCUCAAAUUCCUUCUCCUCCAGGCAGGACCAUACUUAAACCCCAUCCUAGACAAAUAUUUAUUGAACAAAUGAAAUUAAUCUACCCUGGUUUUUAUAGGGUGCUUCAUGUCCUUUCUUGGUUGCUCAUUUCAGUGUUCUCCAGCCUUCAUUGUUAAGAAUUUCUUUCCAUUAUUCUUCAGCUGAUUUUACAUCACGAUUGCCUAAUCUACCCUGUGAGUAACAUGGGAAUUGAUUGCACAGUGCUUUAGGAGUUAUACAAUAUAGAAAUCAAAAGAGAAAUCCAAGUCACCAGAAAUCUACAUUUUGUCGAAAUGGUGUCAAGCAACAGUUUUUAAUCAAGGAGAUAUACAAGUUGUAAGUCUAGGAGCUAUGGGGGGGUGGGGGGUGGAAUGCAAAUACUUCCUCCUCUAGGAUAUGAAGGAUUGUGUGUUUAAUUAUUUAAACGAAUGGAACAUUCAGUAAAUCUUACAGAUGCAAGCAACUGGCAGAUGCUGAAGUAAGGAAAACAGCUUUUUGAAAAGACAAGAGAUUGGUCAGCAUUUUCUGGAAGGAAGGCAGCAAAUAGAUCUGCUCACAGAGCAGACUCAUGCAUGAGAAGGCUCCUCUUGAUUUCAUGAGGGACACUUCAGACUCCCUCAUCCACACUUGGAUCUCACUGUGUCAUAGAGAUGAGAAUAGAGUCAAUUCCAGUUCUGGUGAAUUGGGAAGGGUGGGCAGAGUCGUCUCAGUUAGAUUAAGGACAUGGUGGAAUCUUCUCAAAUGUCUUGAAACAAAACAAAACUCAUUUAAAUUCAUUUCAGUUGAACAAACAGACUCCCUCCAGCACUUUUAGGUGAUGGGGCAGAUGGUGUUACUGAAUAAAGCAACAGUAUGUCCCAAUUCCAAAAGGGCUGGAAGUUAUGGAGCUCUUGGGCCUAAUUUGAGAUGCUAUAUGGGAUAAUUAUGCACUCAAUAAGUUUGACAGACUGGUCAAGGUGGGUGGGCUCUUCUCUUCUUCCUCCUAUAGUUUAUCUUCUGGGGCCCUUUUCUCUCUUUGCUUGGAUACAGGGGCUUGAUCUGGGCCCCUAGAAAAAACUCAAGCUUAGCAUUUACAUAGCAUUUUAAAGUUUACAAAGUGCUUUGCAAAUAUCUCAUUUGACUCUUAAUAAAAACCCUUGGAAAUAGGUGUUACUAGUAUAUCCAAUUUGCAGAUGAGAAAACUGAGUCAGACCAAGGUCAAGUGGCUUGUCCAGCCAGUAUCUGAAGUUUUAUUUCCUAAUUUUAGGUCCAGCACUCAAUUUCCUGUACCACCUAGAAAUCUGACCAAUAAGAAGAAGAAUAAAUCAAUCUAGAUUCCUCUUGAGCCAAACUGAUCUUCCUGGUAUCAUAUGUUAAUAGAUUUAGAAUUGGAGAAGAUAUUAGAAAUCAUCUAUUCCAACUCUCUCAUUUUACAGAACUAUAAACUGAGACCAAUAGAAGAGAAGUCUUUCCUGGGUAUUUGGCAGAAAAAUAGAAUUAAUAAAUUCUUGUUGAUUAAUUAAUGAAGCCAUGAGAAGAAGUCAAGUCAAGGACAAUGAUACAGCAAAAGAAGACCAGUCCAGGAAAUCGAGGAAACCAGAGCAAAUGGACAUCAGAAUAUAACUGAAUAACAAAUUGACAUGGUCCACAAACAUGUCUGGUGUGUAUUCUUUUCUAAUAUAUGCUGACCAUGUCUCCUUUAAUUUCUAAAAGAGUAAAUGUUAUCACAAUAUGAGUAGCAAACAACAGUGUUAGGGAAAUGUCCUAGAUCUCAGAAAUACAGCCACAGUCAUGUGACACUUCAUUAUGUAUAUGUACACCCUGACUUGACUCCUGUCAAAUCAGGGGUCCUUAGAAAAGGGGCAGUAAUGGACCAAAUAAAAGGAUUAAGAAGAUGGCUUUCUUUCUGGUACCAGGGCAAUAAUACCUUGAUUAAAGAUUUGUCGUAUUCCUUUAAAAGGGACCACAUCCCCCAAAUUGAUUGUCAGAUAUGACCUAAUGUUUGAAAUGCAGACAGUAUCAUUUUUGCUGUCAAUCCUCAGGAGCAGACUAGAAGGAAGAUAAUUACCCAUGCUCUGAAUUGGAUUGAAAUAAUAGAAAGGAUGCAAAGAAGCCAUCUAAGACCUACUCCCUCCAUCUCUUUUCUUUCUUCUUUUUUGGGUAUGGUAGAGUCCAAAUGCACCUCUUCUGCUCACUGCCC